rnacentral:tRNA from 1 species
GCUGAGAUGGCUCAGUGGUUGAGCAUUAACCUAUGAACCAGGAGGUCAGGGUUCAAUUCCCAGUCAAGGCA